ACAAACUAAACCUAGAAGUAUGAAGUAAAAUUUUCAGAAUCAGAUCUAACCAGGCCCAAGCAACCGGAUCCAAGAAAGGCCAAACAAUUAGCUCCGGGUCAAUCCAAUGCUAUGCCAGCUUCGUCUAUUUCGGCGUCGCGUUUUUCACUAUGGUUUGCGUUUCAGAAUAAUUUUGGCAUCGCGUCAGCAUCGUCGUAUUUUCACCACCAUCCAUCAUCGUGUAUUGAUUCCGCCAUCAUGUGGAUUCAACAAGCGUCAUGUUUUAGGGUUCCUAAUCAUCGCGCUUCAGAAAUCAAUUGCCUUCUCCAUUGCGUUCAAGAAUCACGGAUCGGAAUUUCAGAAUGAACGAACGACUAUCAAUGGCUCUAACACCAAAUUGAUUUUCGAAAACAACUUCAAUCGCUUCAAGGUCGUGCAUUCGUGAAAGCAGAAAAGCAGAAUCGUAGUUAUAAACUCACUGAAUCAGUGGUGCAAGGUUCAACAUGCGAAGGAUCUUGGUGUGUUCAUCAUAAUGGUUGCACUAUAUUGUCUUAUAAGAAAAUGAAUGAAAAUUGCAGGGCCAUAGUUGAUGGAAUAGGAUUGAAAAAUAUACAUCUAUUUGUAAAACAUACUGUAAAUUGAUCUGAAUGAAAUUGGAAUUGUUAGAUGUUUGAUUA